GGGUGGUGAGCAAUUGCAUUGUGCAUCACGUAUUCCCUACACAUUAGUAGUAGCAGUACUAUUCUCACUGUUAUUAUUAUUUUUUUCCUGUCUUAAUAAACUGUCUGUCUCGACCCACAAGCUUCGUUUUCCUGUUUCUCUCAUCCAUUCCAGAGAGGGAGAGGGGAGAGGGAGCGAACGGCUGUGUGGUGCUUAGCUGCUGGCCGGGGAAACCCACAGCAACAGCAACGUAGUCAUGUAACCAAAUUAAAGCCAAACCUUUCAGCCCGGUCCUUGACCUGAAUAGGGAGUGAGGAUCCGGAUCCUGGCACUUAUACGUGAUAGUUUACAUGCAGCCAAAGUAAAUACUGUAGUUAGAGGUCAUGGCACAAGAUUUUGAGAAGCUCUGCAUAAAGAAGAGAUCUCAGAGAAGCAAAUUUAAAUAACAAUAAUGUCAAGAAGAGUCGUUCUGAUGGCUAUAUUCUUGAUCUGUCGUGACUAGACAGAUGAAAAUCUAUGACGGCAAUUUUGCCUUUUAGUUCAUUUUCUUUUUUCUUUUAUGUCUUUCUUUUAUUUAGGUUUGUUAAUCUUAUUUUAACAGCCUCUGUACUAAUUUUCCUCACAGAAUGACUAGCAGAAAUAUGACCCUUAAGUGCCUUUUGUAAUUAAUUCAUUAGGGCAACUCUAACCACUGAGCCCCUUGUCAGGUGAUUUCUAUUAGCGAUAAGGAGCAAUUGAACCUAAAACACUGAAGCCAGGUUGAUGAGCCUAUUCCACAAGGUCUCUUGGCUCCACCCUUGUUAAGUGAAAUCUGCCAGGUGGGGAUCAUUUGACCUUUGCUAUAAAGGAAGCAUGGUAUGCUUCCUAAAGGAAGUAUGAUAUGAUAUGAGAUAUGGGAAGAAUUGCCACUGCAGAGGAGGUUGAGGUUCAGGUUGUUUAGGGUGCUGUUCUACUGUCCUGGUGAAAUGGACUCAGUGUUCUGGAGUAGGCUGCUUUUUCUUCGUGUUUUCUAUCAUCUCUGUGAAUGAGCUUUGGAGACUCUAUGAGCUAGUUACGUUGGUGGUGACAUCUCAGAACAGGAAAACCCUGGUGGUGCUACUUCCCCGUGAAGUGGUUUGGCAGUAACUCAAGUUCAGGAUCUGGCAGCAGGUAUUUUCAAAGGACUAUGUCUGUACUUCACAGGAGGUGCAAGAUACAGCACUAGUCCACAGCUACCUGAAAGCUUAAGCACUGAAUGGACAUGUGACCACACAACUUCAUCUGUACACUUUGAAAGCACAUCUCUCAGAAGCAUCUGGUCCUUGAAAUGCCAGAGAAAGGGGAUGCAGAACAAAUAACAAGGACACCCUUCUUAAGAAAAAAAAAAAAGACAGUCACCAUUAGACUGAUGGGAAAUUAAGGCAUACAAAGACCUCAGAAGUUUGCACGGAUUCAUACAGGAAAUCUGCACCUGAGUAUUACACUGAAAGUGCAUCGCUACUACCACCUUGAUCUCCCUGUUCUGGGCAUGAUUUUGGUCAAGCCAGGCCUAUCCGAAGCAGCACCAUGGGAGUACUCAAGUCCUGCUGCCCUCCCCUUGGGAUCCUUGAGAGGCUCUGUCUCAGGCGAUGACCCAUGCUGGGGUUGAUCUUCUGGUUCCAAUGCCACCUCCCCAGAUGGAUGAGCAGAAGUGAGCAGUAAUGUUUUCAGAUGACUCACCUCCCAUGGAGAAAUGAUGUAUUGAGGAACUUCAAGCCAGGUUGUUUGUCAAUAUACUGCAAGCUACUUACAGGUUAUAUUGCUGACAGAAAACAUCACCACCUAUGUGACCAGAGUCAGUAAGCACAAUGAAGAUAUGAGCAUCAAGGAGAAUUGAUGUAUAGGUCUUCCUAGCAGAUGAAGUUCACUUCAAGAGCAUGCUGGUUCUCCAGUGCAGCAGCUGCACUGCACCAGCACAAGUCAGCAUGCUUUACUGUCAGAUCCUCACAGCCUUCUGAAGCCUCUAGGUGCACAAGAGGUUGCUCUGCCCUGCAAAAUGCCAGAUUGGAGCUUCUGUUUGCCUUGGAACUUGUGUGUGCAUCUGUUUGAAACAUCUUGUCUUAUUUUUGAUGCCUGGCUUGCUCUGUAGAAGAACUAUGUGGCAAGAUGCCUCUCACUUGGUGACUGGCAAGCCAAACUUGGGAAGAAGCUCUUAGAAAUGGAGACCCUAGCAAACAGAUCCAUACCUGCAACUAUAAUGUCAACAUGUGACCAUGACUGUGAAAAAAGCUGCAUAGAUUUCUGCUCCUGGAAGCCUCAUCACCAAGCAACUGACAGAGACUAGGGAGAGGAGAGAAAAGGAAAGGAUUUAAGAAAAACAAACCUCAAGGAUUUAGGUGCUUUUCCAGAUGCAAGCCAGAGGUCUUAUCGUUCCAACCUCAGUAGGAGGUAAAAUCUUGAUGAUUGUUUUAGGUUUUAUAUUGCUCCCUGUUCUGGAAACACACGGCUUUUUAUUGAAGAUGGGUGGUAUUAAAAAGGGUUUUCUGAAAGGGCUAGCAGUGACUGCUGAUGUUAACUGAACCUCUUCUCUUUAAGACGAUGAGGUGAUGGACGGGUUGGGUUGGUGGUGGCAGCUUGACAUUAAAAAUCAGUUGUGUGCCUGUGCAAUCCCUUUAAUACAGCAUGGUGUGGCACAGACAAGACAUAGAUAUCUGCUUUCUGUCUGUGCUAGGGAGGCAGUAAAUAUCAGCAAGGGGCCAGGCAACAUGCUGGACACUGAAAUCUCUGCCGCCAUGUCUGCCUGGCCCUGCAUAUUGCAGCUGCUGGUUUGGGAGUGAUGCUUUCAAGAGCUGUUCCUGUCCUCUCCUGUGCAUGCGCUCUCCACGGUCUCCACCAAGCAAAGAUGGAGAAGAACAGGUUUUCCUGUGAGAUAGCAGAGUAAUGUGAUACGUUCCUCUAAGUCCGUUCAACCCUCCACUGAGGGAAUAUUUCUUUCUCAGAGCUGCCAUCGGAAAGCCGGAGUUUUUUAUUCAGUUUACAGGUAGUAGGCCCAUAGUCUCAAUUAUCCAGUGUUUUGGUGGAGUUGUGCCAAAGUUGUGCAUCUCCGUUUACAUGGGAUUGACCAGCUUUCAUAUCUCUAUUACUCUGUGAUUCUGACUCUUGUUUUGCUCUGAAAAUUGUGUUCAUUUUAGGCCAGCAUGCACAAGAAAGAUGACAGCUGCACCAGUGUCUGUCACUAAAGUCUGAGAAGUUGAAUAGUUUGUUGAUGUCAGCAGGGUUAUUUUCUAUUUCUCAACUAUGUGAGUGAAAAGUCAGAUCAUUUAUGCAUCUCACUCCUACAUAACUAAUCGUAGAAUCAUUAAUAGAUGGACAAGGGUUUUUUCAGCUGACAUCUAGUAUGCUAAAUAAGUAAUGAUGAAGAGAUUACUUUCUUCAGUUUGCUUUCUUCAUGUAAUGUAUAAUAAGUAGGUGAACUAGUGAAAUAUAAUGUGUGACAGAUAACAAAUAAGUUACAAACUUUGUAAUCUUGAGUGGAUGUCCUGAUGCGGGGGAGUAUGCAUGUGCUCUUAUACAGAAUUUGUCAUGUCUGAUUGCACCUUGACAUUUAAAUUGUACUUUGAACUGAUUUCCACAGAUGGAAAAUCAGAUUUCCUAGGAUUGUAGUAAUUUUUAUGGCCCCCAAAUUCUUGUAUUAGGGAUGCAACCAUGCAUUGGGUUUCUUAGUGAGUUUCAAAAGUAAAUUUAACAUGUUUACCUUUUUCAAGGAAUAAGACUUUACUAGGAAUUCUAAUAUUAAUAGUUAACUCCUAAAUAGCCCAGCACUGCUUUGCUUUUUUGCAUUGCGCAAACCAGCCUCUCAGUCAUUGUGACUGUAAUAUCGAGGCAGCAACAGAAGCAAGUCUUUGCUUCAUUGCAGCGUAAUUUAAGUGCAACAUCCAGGUGUGAUAUUUGAGGUGGUGGCUCAUAGUAACAUCGUUCCCAGAAGAGAACAAUCUAGUUGCUUUCAGAAAAGCUUACAUGACAAAUAGCCUUACUCAAGUACAGAAUGGUAUCUCAUAGUCCCUUAGUCCUUGUCUUUUAGGUACACCACAAGCAAUGGUGGAAAAAGGUAAGGAUUUCUUUUUAUUUUAUUUUGGUGUAGUCCAUGAGCCUGUGAUGUUCUGUGGUAUGGAUCCGUAGUCAUAGGUUAGCCAAGCCCUUUUUAUUUGUUGGUUUUUAAAUGUCACCUUCUCAAAGCACUAACAGAUUGAUUCUAAUGAAUCUGCUAGAGCUUCUCUUACAUUUUCUUGUUCUCCUGAUUUUUUCUUUGAUAUGAUCUCCAACAACUCCUUCCACUGACUCUUUAUAAGGAUAUAUAAAAUAAUAAAAACAAUAGUAUAUCAUUAAAAAAAUUAUAUAUGUGUAGUGUCUUUUUAAUUAACCUGCAAAAUAAUGUAAUAAUAGCUUGUAGACACAGGAUGUGAUUUUUACAUGAGUUUAUGAAUUCCAAAGGAAUCACUCUAAUCUUUUUCUUUUUCAAGUUCAUCAGUUUAAAAAUAAAUAUUUGUCUGAUAAUAAAACACAGUGCUAAGGAUUUCAAAGUUUCCAAUUUGUCUGUAUUUGCCAGCCAUUAUUAAAACAAGCUUCCUGUACUCAUAAGAUUUAAUUUAAUACAGCCAUUGCUUCUGGUGUUCACUUUCUGUGAAACAUAUAGGAAGGAUACAAAAUAAUGACUCAGCAAAAAGUAAUACUCGAAGCAAAAGAUGCACUUAGAUCAUCUAACAAAUUUAAAUGGGGAUAUGUCUCCCACUGGUAGCUCUAGUGCUUUGAAUUCCGGAAAUAUUAUGAAGGCUGGCACAAACCUCUGUUUCAUCACAACCAUGUCACAAUGUGUUAUGAGAUAUCUGUGUUAUUAUUCAUGUGGUAAAUUGGAACUGUCUUAUAUAUGAUAAUAUACUGUCCAUCAAAACAAAAUCUAUGGAAUUAUUAUCUUAUUUUCUGUUUUUAUCUUAUUUAUAAAUGUUAACUUCUUUUAAAGGACCAAAAAUAUAGUAAAAGUUUGUGAGGACUAUAACCUUUGAAUUUACUUAUUGUUACUGAAGUUACACAUAAUAAUUUUUAUUAUUGAUUAGCUAUAAAAAAUAUUAAGAAGAAAAAUAAGUACCAAUAUUUUGAAACAAAUAUAUGGAGCUUACAAGCAGUCUGACUACUUUUACACUGCCACUAGACAUCUGAAUUUAUUGUGAAUAUCUUAAUUGUUUUCUUUAUUCUUGCUCCCGUUUGGUCAGGAAAGAAGGGGAACUCAUAGCCUAACAAAACUGGUCCUACUGACAAGGUACUUGAGGGAAGUCAUCCUUCACACCACCCAGGGAUGUCUUUGGCAUUGGGACAGGGUCGUAUUCUCAGUUUGUGGCACAUGAAAUUGUGCUCCACAUCCUGGGGACCUUGUUCUCAGCUAGUGUUGGCUUAGGAUAUUUGAGAUAGGCCUUGGCUUUUUUGCUAAGUCUAACCAAGAAGGAGCCUGAAUUAAUUGUUCCUCGUUCUUGGUGUCCUAGGUGAGUUUCAAUUUCAUUAAUGUCAACUGUCAUUUAGGUUGUCCCAGGGCUUAUAAAACAAUUGCAACACAUUGGCUGACAUGAUGCAGAACCUAGAGAAUACUCUUGUUUUUCUGAAUCAGCAGCUGGAGGUGCCGUAAGGUAUGUUAUCUCUAUGUUAUGCUUAAACUAUAGCCUACCUCUCAGUCUAAAGGCAAACUGUUGGAUGGUGCUUUGCAGGAUGACAGUGCUAUCACUUUUUUACUCUAAUAUGAAACUACCCAGAGACAGCAAAUUGUUAUCAGAAUCUUCUAGUGUUUUUGGAAAACAGAGAAGUUUAGACACAAGCCAAGGUGAGUAACCUUCAUAUUGAUUCUUUAUUUAUGAGUCCACUGUCACAUGCUGAUCCACUUUGUUGUUUAAUUGAACCAGGAUCUCAUCAUGCCUCAUAUUUUAUUUAACUUGGUAUGCUUUAUUUACUGUGUUUUCUUAGCCUUCCAACUUCAGAAAUGUUUAAAAAGCAGAUGUGGUUGAAUUGUUUUAACAGCAGUCAUCUAAAGAUGAGGUAAAACCAGAUGUGCAUAUUGAGAUAUCAUCUAUUAUUUAAUCAGGUAGUGUAAUUGGAAAUGGUAGACAAAUUUUAUGACACACUAGACUUCCUCAGAUCUGAAACAGAAUUAGCAGACUUCAGAGUGAAACGCAAAAUGAAAGCAGUUGUUCAGAUAUAUACCAACUACCUCUGAAAGAAAAGGUAGCUGGUAUGUGUAGAAUAGAGAAAAGUGAUAAGGCAGUUAUCUCUCUAAGGAAAGAAAAAAUAAUAAUGUAUUGCCUGUCAAACAUGGAGAUGUUAGUGGAGGGGAAAGAAAAUUAUAUUGUGCCAUGGAAUCAAUAUCUCUAUUGAAUCCCUGUUUUUUAGUGACCAGCAGAGUUUAAAAUGUUAGCUCUAAUCUCAUCUUCAGAAGGCAUUUUGAAGAUCCUCUUUAGAGAUCAAGACUGAAAGAUCAGAAGUGGCAUGUUUGUGUAAAGUAUGCUUUGUAUAAAAUGUUUUGUUUUGUUUUUGUAUUUGUUUCAAGAGUUUAUCACAGAGAUGAAUUGCAAAAAACAUGAUUAAGCAGUUCUAGUCCUCCAAGGGUUCCAUGCUGAGUUCCAUGGGAUGAACUUCUGAGUUUGGAAAGGAUCUUUUAGGUCAGAUUUAUGUUCACAGUAGUUUGAGCUACAGGAGAUAAUGUAAAGUAUCUUGUUAAACAGAAUUUACACCUGUUACAUUCAUUGAUAUUUCAUCUGUGAGAUAGCUGUACCUCAGUGCUAAUACUAAUGUGUGGAAAUGCUGAAGUUUAUGCUUAGCUUUUACUGGCCCUUCUCUGAAAUUCCCAUGUGUUCUGAAAACCUGAAGCAAUCUACCACAAUGUGGCAGUAUAUCAUGAGUGGGCUGGAGAGUCCCCAAACACAAAACGCUGCCCCAGACAAAACAUCCUGGAGUGCUCUCCCUGCUCUCAAACUAAUUUUUUGAUAAGAAUAACUCCUUAACCUCCUGAAAUCAUCUCACAGAUGCAGCUAUAGGCGACAAACCUGGUUGGUUGUUCUGCUAGGUUUCCUGGUCACUCUGUGUCUCUUGCCUCACAGCAAUCUUGGCUCCCUGAGCCUGGAGAAAUUUUGAAUAAGUGGGACCUUCUUGCUGCUCAGGUGCACCCUGAUCUUCUCCCUUCUAGAAGGAAUCUUCUCCCUUCUAGAAGCCCCAUUGCUAUGGUGUUAGCAGCCUGUUACCAGCCCACCUUUUCUGGCCCCAUACAUACAAUGAACAGUGGAAGAAACAGAUAUACAGCACUUUAUUCCUGUGACAUCAGGUGAAUGACCUCAAGCUUGUAAUAGGGUGGUUGGGUGCUGGUUAGUGAAAGGAAAAAAAAAGUUAGCUUUUCCCCACCACCACUCAUUUGGGAGUGAGCUGUCAGAAAAGUGUGAUGACAAUUCUAUUAUUUCUUAUUUUUCUUUUCCAUAGACAUGUUCUUGGCCUUUAUUCAAGAAGGUGUGCUCACCUUAAGCUAGUAUCGUCCCUUGGACAGCAUACAAUAGUGGGUGUUUCAGAGAGUUGUGUAGAACACUGAGGGUUGAUUCUGCAGUGUGGUCCAGCUGCUGCCGUGCAGGACAGAUGUUAUACCACAACAACAGACAAGAAACAGUGGCAGGGUAUUUCCACAAGCAAUGGUGAAAUGAGGCUGCUGAAGUAAUUAAAAGGUUGUUUUAGUACUCUGGUAACCACUAGAGAGUCUAUUGCCAUAUUCACAUUAAAUAAAGCACAAUUAGGCCUGACAUAUUGUCCUUCCUUUAGAGCUCCUACCUGAGCUGAUGACAGGGAACAAAUUAAUCCCAGUUGGAGACAGUUUAAUUAAACUAUCUCAAAUGUGUUGUAUUGCUUUGGAUGUUUUGAUUUUGUUAUUAUUUGUAUUUAUCACAAAUGAAUAUUAUUCUUGAUCUGCCUUUUGCCAGAAAUAACAUUAUUUAGUCAAAGUUUAUAGUCCUAAAUUAAAGACUGUGAUAUUUUAAUUUAAUUUAACUCUAUUACUGUGUAUAGACAAUCCUAACUGAGGCCGUUACAAAUACGUUCACACUAGACUUGCAAACAUUUUCAAUUAGGCUUUUACAGUUCUGUUGCUUGGGAAACAGCUUAUGAUAAGAAUGCCACACAUGGCGCAUUUCUUGUUCUUUGAGGUUGUAUUUUUUGUGAUCAUACCUCAUUAUUAUUCCAUUACUACAUUACCAGUACUAUUACCCAUUUUUUAGUAAGUUAGGUUGAAAUUACAAAAUUAUUUUUGAAAUAUUUUCUACAAUUUUGAAACUAUGGAGACCUUAGUAAUGAGCUAAUCACUUUGGCACAUUCAUGUGGGUUAAUAAUUCAACAGUGCAUUAGUUAUGCCCACAUUAAAAUAAUUUAUUUUCUUUCAUGAAGCAGAAAAGGCAUACUCUGUCCAACUUGAUACCUUUAUAUUUAUUCUUGUCUUGAUAUUUAUAUGGUUACUGUCCAAGUGCCUUGAAAAUAUGACUGUGUGUUACUUUAAUAAAACUUACGCACUUUUAAUUCUAUUUUAUAGACUAAAAAGUGAAAAAUUACAUAGCCCCUGUCCAUGGGUUCAUACCAGAUCUACUGAUGAUUAUCUAUGGCUUUGGCCAACUUUUCUUGCUACAGAACAAACAACUUGAAACAGCUUUUGAUCACAAGACACCAGAUGCCCUUCUCAUUCAAUAUAUCAGGUGAAUACUUGGUAGCUGUUCUGAAUUCUGAUGAGCGAUGAAGAAAAUUUCAGAUCUGAAAAGUUUUCAAGACAAUGAGAUAUCUACAGGCAAGGUACAUUGUUAUUAUUCAGACUGGUUACUAAGCUUUCCUCACUCACCAAACACAUGUUGGGAAACGGAUUUAUUUAUUUAUAGGAAGAAAAAAAAAAAGAAAGAAAAUAAAAAAAAGAUUCUUUAGACAUUUCAAGUGUAAGUUUAAUUUGGUCAGCUCAAUCUAUUACAUCAAUGUGAAAAGAUUAAUUUAACUCCAGCAUAGGUAACUACAUCUGAGGUGAAUUGAAAUUGUAUUAGUCAAGGGCAAGAUACUCUCAUAAAAUCCUCAUCUACCUCAUUGCCUAAUUAGUUUUAUAAAUAUUUAU